AAUCCAAGAGAGACAUCUCACUGAAGAUAAGGGAGCUUCUUCCUCAAGAUCCGAAAAGGAGCCUGGAGUGACACCUGUGUCGGGAAUCCUCAGAAGGAGGGAGUGACCACCUGGAACCCAAGGAGCGUGCUUCCUGGGGAGGCUCCUGUCUGAUGUGCAGGAGACAGAAUGCCACACUGACUCUCCCAGGGGCGGCUACAGGGGACCGGGACCGACACGCGGUGUCUCACCCUCCGCUGCAGGGGACGCUGUGCAGCGCUUUUCCUAGAAGUGAGAGGCACGAGAUUACUUUACAAGAGGAAGAUUCCAGGGGCUUAAAAACACAAAGGUUUGCACCUUGGGAGCCCCUUGGAAUGUUGACAACUCAGGAUCUAAAAGAAAGUUCUGUGUUAAUGAGUUACAGAAUUCAUGUGGGAGUAAAUGUCACUUUAUAAUCAAUAAUAAUACUGAGUGAGGAACACUAUGCAGGAAGAAACCUUCCAUAGAAAGACAGGCAGGGAAAAGCUUAGGCCGACCUUAAACCUAUGGAUUAGAGCAAGCCUGAGAUAAACUGCUAAAAUGGCCAAAUAAGAGACUUUAUGAAAUAGCAGUCCUGUAACUGUAGUAGUUGUAAGGAAAUUUUCUCCUCUAAAUCACGAUACCAAAUAGGAAAAAUGAUCUACAAGUGCCCCAUGUGUAGGGAAUUUUUCUCUGAGAGAGCAGAUCUUUUUAUGCAUCAGAAAAUUCACACUGCUGAGAAGCCCCAUAAAUGUGACAAGUGUGAUAAGGGUUUCUUUCAUAUAUCAGAACUUCAUAUUCAUUGGAGAGACCACACAGGAGAGAAAGUCUAUAAAUGUGAUGAUUGUGGUAAGGAUUUUAGUACUACAACAAAACUUAAUAGACACAAGAAAAUCCACACCGUGGAAAAGCCCUAUAAGUGUUAUGAGUGUGGCAAAGCCUUCAAUUGGAGCUCACAUCUUCAGAUUCACAUGAGAGUUCAUACAGGUGAGAAACCCUAUGUCUGUAGUGAGUGUGGGAGGGGCUUUAGUAAUAGUUCAAACCUUUGCAUGCAUCAGAGAGUCCACACCGGAGAGAAACCUUUUAAAUGUGAAGAGUGCGGGAAGGCCUUCAGGCACACUUCCAGCCUCUGCAUGCAUCAAAGAGUCCACACAGGAGAGAAACCCUAUAAAUGUUACGAAUGUGGGAAGGCCUUCAGCCAGAGCUCGAGCCUCUGCAUCCAUCAGAGAGUGCACACGGGGGAGAAGCCCUACAGAUGUUGUGGGUGUGGGAAGGCCUUCAGCCAGAGCUCAAGCCUCUGCAUCCAUCAGAGAGUGCACACUGGGGAGAAACCUUUUAAGUGUGAUGAGUGUGGGAAGGCCUUCAGUCAGAGCACCAGCCUCUGCAUCCACCAGAGAGUACACACGAAGGAGAGAAACCAUCUCAAAAUAUCAGUUAUAUAAAGCGUUUUGCUAAGAGUUAAAAAUCUUAAAACCCAUAAGUGCCACUAGGAAGGAAACCCUGUAAAUACCUACAUUGACCCAAGAAAUUUUUACAGCAAGCCCCAGCAGAACGUUCUUUUCAAAGAGGCAUAUGUAAGGUUGAUUUUUUUGAUUCAUGCCAAGUGUGUUCCACACUUGACUUCUGAAUCUGGAGUCUCUCUGUGUGCCCAGGACGGGCUGUGAGCUCCCAGUUGUGGGUGUGCGUUUCCUGGGGUUCUGGCACGGCACCUCGCUGGUUGAAAUACUGCACAGGAAACCGUGGUCACUGCCCAGCCUCCUGAGUCACCUUCUGUCUACACUUCAUCUGAAAGCUGCCCAGAUACUCUGUCUGUGGGGGCUCACGCCCUUCCUCCUCUUGAUUCAAGCAUACUGGUUAGUGCAUUUGGAAACGGACAGCUCCCACUAAGAUAGUGUUCUGGUAUUUCUGAGGUUACCACUUGAUUCAGCCCCUGCAUGUCUUUCCAUGUAUCCCAUUAUUUCUGAACCCACUUUACCCAUAUGUCCUUAAAAUACCCACAAAUAUCCACCCCUUCCUAGAUGGCAUUAAAUUUCAUUUUAGAUUGUAGGUGACUCAUAAAUUCCAUUCACUUGGUCUAUCAGAAAUCAUUGGCAGACAUACAUGCCCUUGAACUUUUCUUGAUCUUUUUUUUAAUUUUGUGGAUUCUGCUAAUCACUGUAUCUCUGUUAGUCAGACUUAAUUUUAUAGUGGCUACAUCACAUAUUUUUAACUUGAAUUUUUUUGGAAAUAGCUGAAUGUAAAUAGCAGGGAGGAAGAAGCAAGCAAAGUUGGAACUUUCCUCCAUCCAGAGUUGCCCUCUCAGGCUCCUUCUGUAACGUGUGGAGCUCCUUACUAGCUGGGGGAGGCCAUAGGAGACGUGGAUGGUAGGAGGGGUCACUGAUAAUAAUUAGUCUCUGUUUCUGUAAUUUUAGGCAAUAAUGUGUGGGAGUCCUUGAAACUCCUUCAUUGAGGAUUAUGUCAAUUCCUUUUCAGGCAUGACUGUCUGUGUUAAUCUAUCCUUCUUUUCUUUCUUCGUUCAUUUGAUGAGUAUUUAUUGAACACCUCCUGCAUGCCAGGCACUGUGCUCGGUGCUGGGGAUACCACUGAAUAAGACAGACAAGGGGCCUACUCUCAAGGAGUUUACUUCUGGUGGAGGAGACAGAUGAUAAGCAAGUAAACAAAUAAAUAAUGUAGUUUGA